rnacentral:misc_RNA from 1 species
GUGAAUCAUCAAAUCUUUGAACGCAUAUUGCACUCUCUGGUAUUCCGGAGAGUAUGCCUAUUUGAGGGUCAUUUGAAAUAAUAUAAAUUCCAAGAUUUCUCGGAAUUUAAAAUGGGUUGUCCAUUUUUUGUGUCGCCUUAAAUCCAAGACAAGCUCAUUUUUUUGGGUUGCGUGAUUCUUUCAGUUAACUCCGGACUUAACCCAGAAUCA